GACCGCUUCUUCCCUUCUUCCCUGCCCCCCGUCCUUCCCUGCCCGGCGGCGUGGGGUCGGCGUUGUCGCGGCCGCACCACCUCGACGGCGACGGUGCGAGCGAGGCAGGGCGCGCUGGCGCGGCCCUCGAAGCUUGCCACCGGGGGUCGUCUCCGGCUUGACCUCCGUUGCCUCAACUCCUCCCGCUCCGGCUCGCUCCGCAAGGUGGCAGCCGAGACGGCGGAUGCCGGGGCACGCGUCUUCUCCGAUGAGUUCCGGGCGAGGGGGCGGGCGAUGGAGCUGCCAUGCGGACCGACGCUCGGCUCGUACAUCACCGUGGACGCGAUAUGUUUCGAGGCGAAGGCAGCGGAGAUUUGCUCGCUCCCGUCCGGCGAAUAGGUGAAGACAACAAGGGCAAGGUCAUCUCCAUCCUUCCGUGGUGACUGGUGAGGUAUCUCUUCGCCCGUGCGGUGAGUUGGCUCGCCUAUUCUAUUUUCAUUCGGGGAUUUGUAUCAUAUACUCUGACGAAAUCAGCAUUUCCUGAGAUGGAUAUGGAUGCAUCUAGGUGACAAUCUGUAAUUGAUGUAGGUGUAGCCUUGCAUGCUACAAACUGACUGUAAUUUUAUUUGCUGUGUUCUGGAACAGAUUAUUUGGUAGUCAGCUUUUGUGCAUUCUGUUGUCUGUACUAGUGUGCAUAGUUCGCAACAUAUAGCAUUAGCAGUCAAGUUACUUGAUCAAGGUAUGCUCACAAUAUAACUGUGUGGGCUCCUGUACAACAUAUUUGGAAACCAGAUGGGACUCUGAAUGUGCAUGCUUUAAA